AACUGUUCUGGUGGCCUAGUGGUAUGAGCAUCUGCCUCAGAUGCAGAGGGUCAUGGGUUUGAACCCUGGCCAAGUCA